rnacentral:rRNA from 1 species
CACGUAGUUAGCCGGGGCUUCUUAGUCAGGUACCGCCCUCCUUCUUCCCUGCCGAUAGGGCUUUACGCGCCGAAACGCUCCUUCACCCACGCGGCGUCGCUGCAUCAGGGUUCCCCCCAUUGUGCAAUAUCCCCCACUGCUGCCUCCCGUAGGAGUCUGGGCCGUGUCUCAGUCCCAGUGUGGCCGUCCGCCCUCUCAGGCCGGCUACUGAUCGUCGCCUUGGUAGGCCGUUACCCUGCCAACCAGCUAAUCAGACGCGGGCCCAUCCUGUACCACCGGAGUUUUCAGGGGGGUGCCAUGCGGCUCCCCCCGUUAUGCGGUAUUAGCACCUAUUUCUAAGUGUUGUCCCCCUGUACAGGGCAGGUUGCCCACGCGUUACUCACCCGUCCGCCACUCAUGCACGGGGCUUCCGGCCGGAGCCUUCCAUCCCGUACACCCGUUCGACUUGCAUGUGUUAGGCACGCCGCCAGCGUUCAUCCUGAGCCAGGAUCAAACUCU